CAGUCACAUUUAUGCUGCAACAAAACUAAGCCAAUAAAUAAGAUUCUAGGCUUUUCAGAUAAAAUUCAUACGUGUAACUGUGGAGUUAGGUUUUUGUUGAUGGAUGUGAAUAAAAAAUAAAUUUAAUGCAACAAUAACCUCAAAUGAAAAACUACACAAGAGUGCAACUCCCCACUUCUGUUUGACUAAUCAAAGCUAAUUAGCUACAGCUUGCUAGCACCUAUCUAUGGCCCUUACAUCUUGGGACCAUUUACCUGCCAUCUCCUUCACUUUCUGUUAAAAAAAGAUGGUGAACAGAACUUAGAGAAAUGAAGAGACGUUUCCUAAAAAUAGGAUGAAAACACAAUGGCGUUAAUAUGCUUGGCCUUCUCCGUUCACUGGGUCUCCGUCAUGAAGUUAUAAAGUAUAAUACUGAGCACAAUACGUGCCAAGUACAACGUUCAAAGAAACUGAGCUGUUAAGUUUUGUUAUUGUCCUGUAGAGGGCAGUAAAACGUGGCAGGCGAAAGGCCUCCGAUAGUUGCUUAUCCGUUUACAGUAGAAGAAGAAAACGGUACGUCGGCAAAACAAGUUCCUCAUAAUUGCAAAAACAAAAAAAACUGUUCGAACUGGCGUAUAGCAACUUGGUGGUGUGACCAUCGGAAUUGGCUGAAUUCUGAGUGGACGGUCUGAACCGGCUCGCUGGAUUCCAUGUCGUGAGCGAACGGACUGCACAGAUCAACAUCGGCCGACAAUAAACAGACAUACAGUAUCACUGUGGACUCCAGCACCACAAUCGCCUUCCUCUCCGACACCCACUGUCUCACUGAGAGCUCUUCCCAGCUUCUCCACCCAAGAUAUGAAGACUGCUGAAAAAACUGAACUAGGGGAGCAGGAGUGGCACCACCAUUCGGAUAAUGCCAGGUCUCGGUGUUAUUCCUCAGAAACAUGGUCAGACCAUCAAAAUGACAACCGCCACUGGUAAUAAACCACUCACAGCAUCUACGUGUGCUAAUGUAGUCACCAUGGCUGCCAGUGAGCCUUGGCCUCACCUCUGACUCUAGGAACAGCUUCAGCCACUGUGCUCCAGGUCCCUGCUACAGUGGUUACUACACAAACAGGGAAGUUACCUGCAUGGAUCUCUGUGCCCCUCUCUGUCCUCAACCAGCCACUGAAGAGCAAGUGUAGUGACCAGUGAAAGGAAGUCUUAACAUAAAUAUCAGCAGUUUGGGGAGGAUCAUCAUCCUGACCACGAUGCCAGCUAGCACAAAGCUGUUUGCUGGGAAUACACCAGUCAGCUUUGUCACAGCACAGCAGUUUCAGCAGCAAGGGCAGGCCACUCAGGUUUGCAUCCAGACUGUUCAGGCGCAGCAGCUACAGCAGCACACCGCAGCAGGCUUCCCAAAAUCUGUUUUCACAGUUGUAGUCACAAAAG